GAAGUAGGUCCCAAGGGUAUGGCUGUUCGCCAUUUAAAGUGGUACGCGAGCUGGGUUUAGAACGUCGUGAGACAGUUCGGUCCCUAUCUGCCGUGGGCGCUGGAGAACUGAGGGGGGCUGCUCCUAGUACGAGAGGACCGGAGUGGACGCAUCACUGGUGUUCGGGUUGUCAUGCCAAUGGCACUGCCCGGUAGCUAAAUGCGGAAGAGAUAAGUGCUGAAAGCAUCUAAGCACGAAACUUGCCCCGAGAUGAGUUCUCCCUGAGACUUAGAGUCUCCUGAAGGAACGUUGAAGACGACGACGUUGAUAGGCCGGGUGUGUAAGCGCAGCGAUGCGUUGAGCUAACCGGUACUAAUGAACCGUGAGGCUUAACCUUACAACGCCGAAGCUGUU
rnacentral:rRNA from 1 species